rnacentral:rRNA from 1 species
GUCGAGUGCACAGUUUCCUGUAGCAAUACAGGGGAUGGGCGCACGGCGCACGGGUGCGUAACACGUGGGUAACCUGCCCUCUGAUGGGGGAUAACCCCGCGAAAGCGGGGCUAAUACCGCAUGACAUUCCGAGAAUCUCGGUUCUUGGAUUCAAAGCCCGCAAGGGCGUCGGAGGAGGGGCCCGCGCCCGAUUAGCUUGUUGGUGAGGUAACGGCUCACCAAGGCUGUGAUCGGUAGCCGGUCUGAGAGGACGACCGGCCACACUGGAACUGAGACACGGUCCAGACUCCUACGGGAGGCAGCAGUGGGGAAUCUUGCGCAAUGGGCGAAAGCCUGACGCAGCGACGCCGCGUGGGGGAUGAAGCCCUUCGGGGUGUAAACCCCUUUCGACCCGGACGAAUGGCCCGCAAGGGAGUUGACGGUACGGGUAGAAGAAGCCCCGGCUAACUACGUGCCAGCAGCCGCGGUAAAACGUAGGGGGCCAGCGUUGCUCGGAAUUACUGGGCGUAAAGGGUCCGUAGGCGGUGUGGCAAGUCGGGAGUGAAAUCUCAUGGCUUAACUGUGAGACUGCUUCCGAAACUGCUGUGCUCGAGUGCGGGAGAGGCGAGUGGAAUUGCCGGUGUAGCGGUGAAAUGCGUAGAUAUCGGCAGGAACACCCGUGGCGAAGGCGGCUCGCUGGACCGCAACUGACGCUGAGGGACGAAAGCUAGGGGAGCAAACAGGAUUAGAUACCCUGGUAGUCCUAGCCCUAAACCAUCAGGACUUGGCGUGCAUCCCGUUUGGGGUGCGUGCCGGACUAACGCGUUAAUCCUGCGCCUGGGGAGUACGGUCCAAGGCUGAAACUCAAAGAAUUGA